CCUACGGGAGGCAGCAGUAGGGAAUCUUCCACAAUGGGCGAAAGCCUGCUGGAGCAACGCCGCGUGGGUGAAGAAGGUCUUCGGAUCGUAAAACCCUGUUGUUAGAGAAGAAAGUGCGUGAGAGUAACUGUUCACGUUUCGACGGUAUCUAACCACAAAGCCACGGCUAACUACGUGCAAGCAGCCGCGGUAAUACGUAGGUGGCAAGCGUUAUCCGGAUUUAUUGGGCGUAAAGGGAGCGCAGGCGGUCGUUUAAGUCUGAUGUGAAAGCCUUGGGCUUAACCGGAGUAGUGCAUUGGAAACUGGGAGACUUGAGUGCAGAAGAGGAGAGUGGAACUCCAUGUGUAGCGGUGAAAUGCGGAGAUAUAUGGAAGAACACCAGUGGCGAAAGCGGCUCUCGGGUCUGUAACUGACGCUGAGGUUCGAAAGCGUGGGUAGCAAACAGGAUUAGAUACCCUGGUAGUC
rnacentral:rRNA from 1 species